rnacentral:rRNA from 1 species
GACGCUGGCGGCGUGCCUAACACAUGCAAGUCGAACGGAUUCAGGUAUUAGACAAUAGGUAUUAGAGGCGAGUCUAACAUCUAAUAUCUAACGUCUAAUAUCUGAAUUAGUGGCGGACGGGUGAGUAACGCGUGAGCAACCUGCCUUACAGAGGGGGAUAACGUCUGGAAACAGACGCUAAUACCGCAUAACAUAACCAUACGGCAUCGUAAGGUUAUCAAAGGAGCAAUCCGCUGUAAGAUGGGCUCGCGUCCGAUUAGAUAGUUGGUGAGGUAACGGCUCACCAAGUCAGCGAUCGGUAGCCGGACUGAGAGGUUGAACGGCCACAUUGGGACUGAGACACGGCCCAGACUCCUACGGGAGGCAGCAGUGGGGAAUAUUGCACAAUGGGCGAAAGCCUGAUGCAGCAACGCCGCGUGAGGGAAGACGGUCUUCGGAUUGUAAACCUUUAACUUUGGGGAAGAAAGAAAUGACGGUACCCAAAGGAGCAGCCACGGCUAACUACGUG